GUUCGACACCGUGCCUGACACAACAGGGUUCUCCAACAGUGUCAAACCCAAGGGCUUCACCAUGAAGAUGGAGGAAGUUUUGGAGGCUAAGUGUGAGCCCUCUGAUGACGCCCCCUCCUCAGGGCGAGCUCGCGAUCCUCAGCGUGAACUCUCUGAGACGCAGCGUCAGCCAGGUGAUGGACGGCAGGUCGCUCACAGACGAUGCAACGUGGGACCCAAACAUCUCAGGCCAUGACAGUGGGAUGUUUAUGGAAGAUGAGGAGUUUGUCGACACCGUCAAAGGUUUCAGCACCGUGAGGAAGGAGCACACAAUGUUUAGUGACACCAACCUGUGACCUGAGGACGACCUUUGACCCUAUACAGGAAAACACGGCCACAGGGUCACAUUAAAUCCACCCUGUGUUGUCUCCAACCCGGAGAUAACCCAGAGGUCACAGCUGAGCAGAACUGAUAAAUGAAGGAAGAGGAAGUCGACGUGAUCCGUGAUGAGACUGUUGGAAUAACUGUGACAACUAAGAGGAGACAGAAGUGAGAAACGUUUCAACACAACAGGACAAAAAACAUUUCUAUUGAGUGGAAAGAGGAAGAACCUGUUUUUGUGGAGAACUCUAAUGAAAAAGGAAAUAUGCUUGACAUUAUUAUUUCUCGUCAUUGAAUAGAGACUCUGAACACGCACAGAAAAAGACUAAACAAACCAAAGAUAUAGUGGAAGAAGCAGCAGAACAUAGUUAUGUAUUUGAGUUAUGUAUAUGUAAAAACAUUUUUUUUUAUUUAUGGACAUGUUCAAUAUUCAAUUCUUUUAGAUUCAAGUCUUUGGUUGCUUGUUGGUGAAGGAAAAGCAAAAUGUGUUGUGUCCGUGUAAUGGUAUCCAGGGACGACAAACUUUCAUAUCAAUUCAUUAAAAUUUUUAAAAGGGAUGACAGAAAAAAAUCUGCAAAGUUCACUCUCUCAACUCUUUAAAAAUAUGCGAGGCUUUAGAAUAUUAAUUGUUGUACAAAUGUUUUAUUUUAAAUACCUUUUUUUUCAUUAAAAUUAACUGCACUAAAAUCUGCUGCUUAAAUCAUUGUAUCUUCAGAUGUUAUUUUAAAUCUUGUGGGGAAACAUUGAGUGGUUUUCCAAUAGAACAGAAAACUAAAGGCCAGUUUGUCUUUGAUAUCC